GCAGGUGUGGCGGAAUUGGCAGACGCACUAGAUUUAGGGAUCUAGCGCCUUACGGCGUGGGGGUUCAAGUCCCUUCACCCGCA
rnacentral:tRNA from 1 species